UGUACCUGCUCUUCAUCGCCCCAUGGCUCUUUUUCCGUUUCUCACCUGUGCCUUCAGGAGCGCGUAAGCACGCGCAAGCACACGCCGUCACGCAGAAUCAGACCUCACGCGUGAUUGCAAGCGGCGAGGCCUCUCGCUGCAGUCGCGGUGGGGCAACGGUGCAGCCCACCUUCUCCCCCUCUUAUUUGCUUUUCAGUAUGCUGGCCUUCUCGCUGUCGGUGAGGGUGUUGUGUGCGCGUGUGUGUGUGCGUGCUUGCGUGUGGUGCACCACCAUGGACUGCGAGAGCUAGCACGGCCACUCAGGCAUGCAGGCAUGCACGUGCACGUGCACACGCGCGGGUGCGCACACUUCGUAGCGCGCGAUCCUCCGCCUCUCCAGUGCCGUUCACUUUGCGCUCUCUCUUGUGCGUUCAUUUCUCUCCCUGCCCACGUCUGCAUCGGCGCGAUGUUGCGUGCAAGGGACAGGGAAGAGGUGGAAGUGGGGAAGGCUCACGUGACGCAAGAGAGAGGGGAUGGGGAAGCGUUUUCAGAGGCGGGCGCGCACGCGUGCCGCGUGCCGCGUGUCGUGUGUGUGUGUGUGUGUGUGUAUGUGUGCAUGUUAAGCCACCUUAGCGAAUAAGGGGGGUGGGAGGUGCUUGCUGUGUCCACUUGCCUGUCGCAUCGCACUGCCCGGCGUAUCCGUGUCGGCAAGCAUGUGUGUCGGUUUGGGCAGUGUCUGUGUGUUUGCGGUGUUCUUGCGUGCUCGAGACGGAGGGGGUCGGAACGAGUGGUGGAGGGGCCACGGCUGCCCUGAUGUGCCACGCCGCGUACGAGGAGGAGGAGGAAGGGUGAGCAUGAGGCCCGGUGACGAUGGUGCGGUGAAGAGGCGUUGCGACAGAGGCGGACGGAGCGCGUGCCAGAGAAUCGGAAGAGAAGGGGCUGGCUGGUCGGAAGUACGCUCGUGUAUGUGUGUGUGUGUGUGUGUGUGUGUAGCCGUCUCGUGUGGAGAGGGGGGAGGCGGGAAGCAGACGGCGGUGAUGGGAAGGGUCCUGCGGUGUGUUGGUGAUGGGGUGGAGAAUGUGAAGGAAAGCCAAGAUGCAGAGAAGGACUGCGACUGAGCAUGUCAUCUGAGAAAGUGAGGGGUGGUGCUGAAAAGAGAGGCACAGACAACGGAUAAGUGGCGUGCGCGUGCGUGUCUGUCGAUGUGUAUGUGUGUGCGUGUGCGUAUACGCCUAUGUGUGGGUGCGCGAGGGUUCGCUGGUCUUGUGUGGAUGCCGAGUGUGCGGCAGCCGCGUCCUGUGAUAUGGACCCCGCCCCUUCUUCCCGUCUUUAUCGACGCCAUUCUGCGCCUCCUCUCGAUGCACUGUUGCGAGUCGAUAAGGCGAAAGGGGGUGGAGGGAGGGGCAACGAGCGGCGCUCACCAGGUGCGUCUCAAGAUGCGCAUGUGUGUCUCGUGGAGGAAGGGAGAUGGAGGAAGACGAAAGGUGAAUCGGUAUGCAUUGCCAGCAGCGAGGCCUUAGUCUUCGCCGGCCCACCCACCCUCCUCCCUGCUAGUUUUUUGAUCUACUUGUAGUGCUGAACCGCAGAAGGAUAUG
rnacentral:misc_RNA from 1 species